UACGGGGGGGGCAAGCGUUGUUCGGAAUUACUGGGCGUAAAGAGCUCGUAGGCGGCCUGUUGCGUCCGCUGUGAAAUCCCGGGGCUCAACCCCGGGCCUGCAGUGGAUACGGGCUGGCUGGAGGCAGGCAGGGGAGAACGGAAUUCCUGGUGUAGCGGUGAAAUGCGCAGAUAUCAGGAGGAACACCGGUGGCGAAGGCGGUUCUCUGGGCCUGUUCUGACGCUGAGGAGCGAAAGCGUGGGGAGCGAACAGG
rnacentral:rRNA from 1 species